UACGAAGGGGGCUAGCGUUGCUCGGAAUUACUGGGCGUAAAGCGCACGUAGGCGGCUUCUUAAGUCAGGGGUGAAAUCCUGGAGCUCAACUCCAGAACUGCCUUUGAUACUGGAAAGCUCGAGUCCGGGAGAGGUGAGUGGAACUGCGAGUGUAGAGGUGAAAUUCGUAGAUAUUCGCAAGAACACCAGUGGCGAAGGCGGCUCACUGGCCCGGUACUGACGCUGAGGUGCGAAAGCGUGGGGAGCAAACAGG
rnacentral:rRNA from 1 species